CUCCAGCCCGUGGCAGCAGAAGUGGAGCAGCAUGUGUACCUAAGACAAAAACGCCACUGGUGAGUUCAAAGUCACCUUCUUGUGCGGCAAAUGUGAUGUGAUAAAACCAACCAGCAGAGGGUGAUGAGACGUCGGUGUUCUGGGACUCGGACCAAGUGCUCGCACAGCUGCAUGAGCAGGACAAUCACAGUUUGGCUCAGCACCUGGAAACAAACAAUAUUGGAUCAAAGACGGCAUUGAGAAGGCUGGAGUUUCGAGCAUUCAACGCUUACUGCAGACUGAGAAACUUGUUCAAGCCAAGUGUUGGACGACAGUCGCUGCCUGGUGAAGUGGACCUAAGAAAAAAGGACACAGAGUUACAGUGCAUUUCUGGUGCAGCAAAUGUGAGACAAGAUGACACCCAUCAGUGAGGAAGAGGACCUGGGAGGUUUUCUGCAGGAAUCGGACCUUGUUGUUGGCAGGCUGCUCCAAAGUUUGCUUCAGCCUCUCCUGGAUGGCAUCCGACAGCUGACGAAGCAAAAGCAAGAUACAGAGUUGCAUGUCACAUCGCAGACCGGGGGGAGAAGAUAUCCAGGCGGACAGUUUUCCUGAGGUAGCGUGACGUCACUUCUGAAAAACAGCAAGACGCGAGUCACAACAUUCACUCGGCAUGGUUUCUGUUGGAGAUAAAACCCGCUGCCACCAGCGCCAACCUGUCUUAAUUCCUCUUCUCCAAAGUCUGCCACCUUCUGGAUGUGGUCCUCCAGUUGAGGAAGAGAAAGCUGAUGAUGUUCAGCUACACGACACAGGCUGGCAUGUUUCAUCUCCCGACGCCUCUGCCUGAAUGACCAUCUGGGAGGG